rnacentral:rRNA from 1 species
AUUGAACGCUAGCGGGAUGCCUUACACAUGCAAGUCGAACGGAGUGGCGAGCGGGUGGGUAAUGUAUCGGUACGUACCCACCAGCUGGGGAUAAAUAAGCGCAAGCGUAGGUAAUACCGCAUACUUGCGGACCGGUCGGUAUCGGUUUAGCUAGUGGGUGGGGUAACGGCUCACCAAGGCGACGAUCCGUAGCUGGUUUGAGAGGACGACCAGCCACACUGGAACUGAGACACGGCCCAGACUCCUACGGGAGGCAGCAGUGGGGAAUUUUGGACAAGGGGGGAAAGCCUGAUGCAGCCAUGCCGCGUGUGCGAUGAAGGCCUUCGGGUUGUAAAGUACUUUUGGCAAGGAGGCGGUACCUGCAGAAGAAGCACCGGCUAACUACGUGCCAGCAGCCGCGGUAAUUC